rnacentral:rRNA from 1 species
AUUGAACGCUGGCGGCAGGCCUAACACAUGCAAGUCGAACGGUAACAGGAAGAAGCUUGCUUCUUUGCUGACGAGUGGCGGACGGGUGAGUAAUGUCUGGGAAACUGCCUGAUGGAGGGGGAUAACUACUGGAAACGGUAGCUAAUACCGCAUAACGUCGCAAGACCAAAAAGGGGACCUUCGGGCCUCUUGCCAUCGGAUGUGCCCAGAUGGGAUUAGCUAGUAGGUGGGGUAACGGCUCACCUAGGCGACGAUCCCUAGCUGGUCUGAGAGGAUGACCAGCCACACUGGAACUGAGACACGGUCCAGACUCCUACGGGAGGCAGCAGUGGGGAAUAUUGCACAAUGGGCGCAAGCCUGAUGCAGCCAUGCCGCGUGUAUGAAGAAGGCCUUCGGGUUGUAAAGUACUUUCAGCGGGGAGGAAGGGAGUAAAGUUAAUACCUUUGCUCAUUGACGUUACCCGCAGAAGAAGCACCGGCUAACUCCGUG